rnacentral:rRNA from 1 species
UAUUGCACAAUGGGCGCAAGCCUGAUGCAGCCAUGCCGCGUGUAUGAAGAAGGCCUUCGGGUUGUAAAGUACUUUCAGUUGUGAGGAAAGGUGUGUAGUUAAUAGCUGCACAUCUUGACGUUAGCAACAGAAGAAGCACCGGCUAACUCCGUGCCAGCAGCCGCGGUAAUACGGAGGGUGCGAGCGUUAAUCGGAAUUACUGGGCGUAAAGCGCAUGCAGGUGGUUCAUUAAGUCAGAUGUGAAAGCCCGGGGCUCAACCUCGGAACUGCAUUUGAAACUGGUGAACUAGAGUACUGUAGAGGGGGGUAGGAUUUCAGGUGUAGCGGUGAAAUGCGUAGAGAUUUGAAGGAAUACCAGUGGCGAAGGCGGCCCCCUGGACAGAUACUGACACUCAGAUCGAA